AAGCUUGCUAGUUGUAAUAACCGCAGUGUUAAGUCUUUACACUACAAAUAGUAGGGACUUAUAUUUUGGUCAUUAUAACCAAUAUGUCAUUAUAAAUGAUGUUGUUU